UAUAUAUUUUUCACUUGUAAAAAUUGUUCAUAACGUUUUUUACUUUUUCAUAAAAUUGUUAUUUAUUGAUAGAAUAUUAGAAUAUGAUUGUUAAGUUAUGGAAGAAAGAAAAAGGAGAUGAAUAACGUGAAUAGUUUGGCAGAAAGAGUUGUGACACUGCUAAAAGCUUUUUGCCGUUCUGAGAAUCACGUUAAGCAGAUUCAAGCACAAAUCAUACUACACAACCUUCAAUCAAACACCACCAUCACACACCACUUCAUCAACGCUUCUCAAUCUCAUAACCUUCUCAACACCGUUUUACCUCUCUUCUUCACAACCUCCCUCAGUCCAAAACCCCACAUUUUCAUCUUCAACUCUCUCAUCAGAGCCUUCUCCCAUUCCCACAUUCCCCACAUCCCUCUCUCCAUAUACACCCACAUGCACAAAAACUCCAUCUUCCCCAACAACUUUACAUUCCCUUUCCUCUUCAAGUCACUUUCCGACUCACACCACUUCAUUCAAGCUCAAUGUGUCUACACCCACGUCGUAAAACUCGGUCAUGUUAAUGAUCUUUAUGUCAAUAAUUCACUUCUUGAUGUAUAUGCUUCAUGUGGCCGUUUCGCGCUUUGCCGACAACUGUUCGAUGAAAUGCCUUACAGAGAUGUUGUGUCUUGGACCGUGCUGAUCAUGGGUUACCGAAAUUGUGGGAGAUUUGACGAGGCGUUAUUUGUGUUUGAACAGAUGCAGUAUGCGGGUGUGGUUCCGAAUCGGGUUACGAUGGUGAAUGCUUUGGCUGCUUGUGCUAACUCUGGUGCGGUUGAAAUGGGGAUUUGGAUAGAGGAUAUGAUAAGGAGGAAUGGGUGGGAAUUGGAUGUGAUUUUGGGGACGGCGUUGAUUGAUAUGUAUGUAAAAUGUGGGAGAAUUGAAGAGGGGUUGAGAGUUUUCAGUAACAUGAAGGAAAAGAAUGUUUUUACUUGGAAUGCUGUUAUUAAAGGGUUAGCUUUGGCUAAAAGUGGUGAGGAGGCUAUUUUGUGGUUUAAUAGGAUGGAAUUUGAUGGUGUUAGAGCUGAUGAAGUUACUUUGCUUGCGGUUCUUUCUGCAUGUAGUCAUUCAGGCUUGGUGGAAAAGGGUAGAUUGAUCUUUGGUGUUUUGGUUGAUGGAAAAUAUGGAUUUCGUCCUAAUGUGAAACACUAUGCUUGUAUGAUUGAUCUCUUGGCACGGGCUGGUCGAUUGCAAGAGGCUUUUGAGGUCAUGAGAUGUAUGCCUUUUGAGGCAACGAAAGCUAUGUGGGGAUCCUUGUUGGUUGGCUCUAAAUCUCAGGGUGACUUGGAAUUCAGCGAGUUUGCGGCUAGAAAACUAGUUGAGUUGGAGCCUGAUAACACUGCCUAUCAUGUUCAGCUGUCAAAUCUGUAUGCAGAGGCGGGAAGAUGGAGUGAUGUUGAGAGAGUAAGGGGAAUGAUGAAAGAGAGAGAACUGACCAAGGACUUGGGGUGUAGUUCUGUGGAGGUUGAACACCAACGGCAUGUCAGUGAACUCUUGGCAUAGUACUCACUCUCCAAGCUUUUUCAUGCAACUUGUAAGUUGAGACUUGAGAUGGAAUGCUUGUCCCUCUACAACUGGUGUUCAAGGAACACCAAGUUAUCUGUUACUUCUGUUAGGGGGCUGGUGUGCUACAAUAUGUAUUUCUUGAUGCAUAUUGACGGUUAGAUUGCUGAUGGAUGAUAUUCAAGGAUGGUAUAUAAAUGAUUGAUUAUUCACCGAGAAAGUAACUCACAUGUGGGUUGGUGUUCCCGUUGAGCAUCCUGAAAAAAUUGCCGUUGAUGUCAAUGAGUUGCUAUUAGUUAAUUUAGUUUACAAAAGCACCAACACUAACUGAUGAGUACACAAUUUGACAAUAACACGACCAUUGAAGCUUGACUUCUGGACUAUUUGGGCUGCGAUAUUCUAGGCAUUCUCUUACCCAACCUUGAAUAUCUUUUUAUUGGAUUCUUAUUGCAGACUUUCCCAUCAAAUGUUAUUUUGAUCACAAUACCUUGUAAGAAAUUUAGGAAUGGAAAACACAUUUGUUUUAACUUAUAUCUGAUGAAACAACGGAAAGCAAAAGUGAUGAAAAUUUGAAAUGGUUGAGUGCAGAUCAUGUUAUUUA